CCACUGACAACAUGAGACACUUCUCCAUGGCAGAUAACUACUUCAGCGACGGUACCUUUGCCAUGUGCUAACCUGGCACCAAAGAGACGAAAGUACCUGAAUCUCGACACAAAAAUGAAAAAUGAAAAAAAGGACUUGUUGACCAGGAAAAGUGCCAUAGAAUAUGCUGAUGCUGUGUCGCAUUUGGUUGGGGUUUGUAAAUGCGCAUGUUAUUGUAGGCAUGUAUAUAAGUAAAUUAUGUAAACAGAAAAUACAUUCUCUAAAUGGAUAGAUUGUCCAGUGAAAAAAUAUGUUAUGUUAUAGAUGUUGUUAUAUGGAUGUACAUGAAUAAAUUAUGUGAACAGAGUAUUUCAGGAGUUGAGGUCUAAUUUACUGCAACAGACUAUAGUUAAUCCCCCUAUUGUUAACUAUCUACCACGGCCGACUAAACCUCUACCUCGAACAAUAGGUGCAGGCACAGUGAGGUGUCCCCGGAUUACACCUUCACCAUCCUAGAUCCUAACCAUGACCCUGCCAUCCUCCUCGACCAUCUCACCAAUCCCAUUUUAACAAUCUCGAUAUUCUAUUUCAACAGAUGAGGGAAAAAUUCAGUCAAAAUCCCCAGAAAUGAAACGUUAAACCGUAAUAAUUAUUCCAAUGUUCAGCGAACAAUAAACAACAUAAUUAACUUGCGGAAAAUAUAUGGGUCUGAGUCUCUCAAUGCUUUGUUAAUGACAAAGAUCACAAAUGUCCUUUUUGUCCCUUUUUUCAGUUUUCUUUGUUUCUUCCGUUUCUCUGAUCUGUGGAUUCUCAUGUGGCAACACAUCGAAUUCUCUGCUUGGCCCUGGCGCUGGUAUCUCAAGUGGUGAGGGUUGCUUGGACAAGUUGGGGUUCCGGUUACCUCAGUGAUAGCCGACGCUGCAAAAUCGUCAUCACUGAAUAUUUCUGGAUUAAAUGGCCAUAUGCCGCUGCAGAAUGAACAAGAAGCGGAUUGUGUCAGUUUAUAUACUGAGUCAAAAAAAGAAACUUCACAUUCUUUCUUCAGGGCACUAUAAAA